UGGGGAAUAUUGGACAAUGGGCGCAAGCCUGAUCCAGCCAUGCCGCGUGAGUGAAGAAGGCCUUCGGGUUGUAAAGCUCUUUUACCAGGGACGAUAAUGACGGUACCUGGAGAAUAAGCCCCGGCAAACUUCGUGCCAGCAGCCGCGGUAAUACGAAGGGGGCUAGCGUUGUUCGGAAUUACUGGGCGUAAAGCGCACGUAGGCGGAUUGUUAAGUCAGAGGUGAAAUCCCGGAGCUCAACUUCGGAACUGCCUUUGAUACUGGCAAUCUAGAGUCCGGAAGAGGUUAGUGGAAUUCCCAGUGUAGAGGUGAAAUUCGUAGAUAUUGGGAAGAACACCAGUGGCGAAGGCGGCUAACUGGUCCGGUACUGACGCUGAGGUGCGAAAGCGUGGGGAGCAAACAGGAUUAGAUACCCAAGUAGUCCCUGAGCGGGCUGGCAAGGCGCAU
rnacentral:rRNA from 1 species